AGAAACCUUUGCAAUGUGCGAAAGCACGACAAGGUUAAUCCGAGUGUCUCCUGCUAAAGGAGUCUUUUGUCAGUUGUAGAAUCACUGGUGAAUAAGGGGUGGGCAAGUUCUGGUGUCAGCCGCCGCGGUAAAACCAGCACCUCGAGUGGUCAGGAGGUUUAUUGGGCCUAAAGCAUCCGUAGCCGGUUGCAUAAGUUUUCGGUUAAAUCUAUGCGCUUAACGUAUAGGCCGCCGAAAAUACUGUGCAGCUAGGGAGUGGGAGAGGUACACGGUACUCGAUAGGAAGGGGUAAAAUCCUUUGAUCUAUUGAAGACCACCUGUGGCGAAGGCGGUGUACCAGAACACGUUCGACGGUGAGGGAUGAAAGCUGGGGGAGCAAACCGGAUUAGAUACCCGGGUAGUCCCAGCUGUAAACGAUGCAGACUCGGUGAUGCAUUGGCUUGUGGCCAAUGCAGUGCCGCAGGGAAGCCGUUAAGUCUGCCGCCUGGGAAGUACGUACGCAAGUAUGAACUUAAAGGAAUUGGCGGGGGAGCACCACAAGGGGUGAAGCCUGCGUUCAAUUGGAGUCACGCCA
rnacentral:rRNA from 1 species